rnacentral:lncRNA from 10 species
GCAGGACCUGGUGCCCAAGCCUGUAGGACUGAGCUGGCAGCAGGCACCCAGCUAGCUCAGAGCUCUGCUACAGGAUUGGCAAGUAAACAUGACAGCUGUUUCCUUCUAAGGGUCUUAGAGCAGCAGAAGGCUUAUGCAGCUCUUGGGCAGAAACCUGGAGAAGCCUGGACAAGACAGACUGAAAUCCAAGAUUUUGAAACUGAAACCUCAAGUCUUCUGAGGUCUUGGGCUUGCUGCCUUCCAACUAGAACUUACACCAUCAGCCUUCCUGGGUCUCCAGCCUUCACACUUAAACUGGACUUACACCAUUGACUCUCCUGGAUCUGUACGUUGCCACCUGCAGAUAUGGUGACCUCUCAGCCUGGGUUAUUAUACAGUGACAGAGGAAAGUGACUCUUGG